UACGAAGGGGGCUAGCGUUGCUCGGAAUCACUGGGCGUAAAGGGUGCGUAGGCGGGUCUUUAAGUCAGGGGUGAAAUCCUGGAGCUCAACUCCAGAACUGCCUUUGAUACUGAAGAUCUUGAGUUCGGGAGAGGUGAGUGGAACUGCGAGUGUAGAGGUGAAAUUCGUAGAUAUUCGCAAGAACACCAGUGGCGAAGGCGGCCGACUGGUCCGGUUCUGACGCUGAGGCGCGAAAGCGUGGGGAGCAAACAGG
rnacentral:rRNA from 1 species